GACGUAUUAGGACUUGCUCCGAAAGCGUUUGGAGGCCGCAGAGACUAGUGGGUAGCGACUGUUUACUAAAAACACAGGUCCGUGCCAAGUCGCAAGACGAUGUAUACGGACUGACGCCUGCCCGGUGCUGGAAGGUUAAGAGGACCGGUUAGCCGCAAGGCGAAGCUGAGAAUUUAAGCCCCAGUAAACGGCGGUGGUAACUAUAACCAUCCUAAGGUAGCGAAAUUCCUUGUCGGGUAAGUUCCGACCUGCACGAAUGGCGUAACGACUUCCCAACUGUCUCAACCGCGAACUCGGCGAAAUUGCAUUACGAGUAAAGAUGCUCGUUACGCGCAGCAGGACGGAAAGACCCCGUGACCUUUACUACAGCUUGGUAUUGGUGUUCGGUGUGGCUUGUGUAGGAUAGGUGGGAGACUUUGAAGCGGUGACGCCAGUUACCGUGGAGUCAUUGUUGAAAUACCACUCUGGUCACUCUGGAUAUCUAACUUCGAACCGUAAUCCGGUUCAGGGACAGUGCCUGGUGGGUAGUUUAACUGGGGCGGUUGCCUCCCAAAAAGUAACGGAGGCGCCCAAAGGUUCCCUCAACCUGGUUGGCAAUCAGGUGGCGAGUGUAAGUGCACAAGGGAGCUUGACUGUGAGACUGACAGGUCGAGCAGGGACGAAAGUCGGGACUAGUGAUCCGGCAGUGGCUUGUGGAAGCGCUGUCGCUCAACGGAUAAAAGGUACCUCGGGGAUAACAGGCUGAUCUUGCCCAAGAGUCCAUAUCGACGGCAUGGUUUGGCACCUCGAUGUCGGCUCGUCGCAUCCUGGGGCUGGAGUAGGUCCCAAGGGUUGGGCUGUUCGCCCAUUAAAGCGGUACGCGAGCUGGG
rnacentral:rRNA from 1 species